GGAGCUGCAGUAGAGUUGGAGGUAGGAGCUGUAGUGGAGUCAAAGGGAGGAUCGAAGGUAGGAUCUGCAGUGGUGUUGGAGGUAGGAUCUGUAGUGGAGUCGGAGGUAGGAGCUGUAGUGGAGUCGAAGGGAGGAUCGAAGGUAGGAUCUGUAGUGGUGUUGGAGGUAGGAUCUGUAGUGGAGUCGGAGGUAGGAGCUGUAGUGGAGUCGAAGGGAGGAUCGAAGGUAGGAUCUGUAGUGGUGUUGGAGGUAGAAGCUGUAGUGGAGUCGGAGGUAGGAGCUGUAGUGGAGUCGAAGGGAGGAUCGAAGGUAGGAUCUGUAGUGGUGUUGGAGGUAGAAGCUGUAGUGGAGUCGGAGGUAGGAUCGAAGGUAGGAUCUGCAGUGUUAAUGCGAGCUAAAAUAAUUUUCAGGGUUAAUUAAUACAAUAAAGCUACAAUAACGCGUUAACUUGUCCAGUCCUAAUUUUUAUAAAAUCUAAAUCUAAAAUCAAGAGAAGUAUUGUAAUAUAACAUUUUAAUUUUCAUGUUUUUACAUGCUGGUGGAUGGACUGUAGUUGUAGUAGUUGGUGGUGUAAAUGACGUUGAAGUUCGUGCUGUUGUAGUUGUAACCAGUGCUGGUGAAGAUGAUGAUGUAGUUGGUGCUGGUGUAGGCGGUGUUGUAGUUGUAGUCAUUGUUGUAGUCAGUGCUGGUGUAGGUGGUAUUGUAAUAGGUAAGGAGAUAAUUGAUGUGGUAGUUGUAGUAUUUGUAGCCAGUCCAGAUGGAGCGAUUCCAGUUUGAGCUGUGGAAUUAAAGAAACAUUUGAUAUCAACAAUCAGAUCAUCUGUACUGUUG
ensembl:lncRNA